GGUCAUUGAGAGGUUAAGCAAACAGAAACCAGCAGCCACUGCCAACAAGUGGUUCAUGAUGACACAACUAACAUGCCAAGGAGGGGUGUGUCACUUGAGUGGGUUGAGUUACUGACGUGGUCUUCCUGUCCGGGUUGGCGCCCCCCUCGGGUUCAUGCCGUGUGGGAGAUCUUUGUGGGCUAUACUCGGCCUUGACUCAGGGAGGACUUGAGCCUUAGGACCAUGCCUCAGGACUACCUGGCCUGAUGACUCCUUGCUGUCCCCAGCCCACCUGGUCGUGCUGCUGCUCCAGUUUCAAUUGUUCUGCCUGCGGCUAUGGAACCCUGAUCUGUUCACCGGAUGUACUACCUUGUCCCAGACCUGGUGUUUUUCGACUCUCUACCGCUGUCUCUAACUGAAUGAUUGGCUAUGAAAAGCCAACUGACAUUUACUCCUGAGGUGCUGACCUGUUGCACCCUGUACAACCACUAUGAUUAUUAUUAUUUUACCUUGCUAGUCAUCUAUGAACAUUUGAACAUCUUGGCCAUGUACUGUUAUAAUCUCCACCCGGAACAGCCAGAUGAGGACUGGCCACCCCUCAGAGCCUUGUUCCUCUCUGGGUUUCUUCCUAGGUUCCAGCCUUUCUAGGGAGUUUUUUACAUCUGCAUUGCUUGCUGUUUGGGGUUUUAGGCUGUUUUCUGUAUAGCACUUUGUUACAUCGGCUAACGUAAAAAGAGCUUUAUGAAUAAAUUUGAUUUGAUUUUUAGUUGAUUAUAUGUUAUGCACAAAUUUGUUUACAUUCCUGUUAGUGAGCAUUGCUCCUUUGCCAAGAUAAUCCAUCCACCUGACAAGUCGGGCAUAUCAAGAACCUGAUUAAACAUUAUGACCAUUACACAGGUGCACCUUGUGCUUGGGGCAA